rnacentral:lncRNA from 1 species
CGGCCGCUUACCCUGACUCACCCGUGGAGUUACCCGCUCGCCUACAGAAGGGCGCGAUGCGGCGCCGCUUCUGGGGCGUGUUCAACUGUAUGUGCGCCGGUGCGUUCGGGGCCCUGGCCGCCGCCGCCGCCAAGCUGGCCUUCGGGAGCCAGGUGCGGCCUGGGGCGCCACAAGGGGGCGGGGCCGGGAGGAGGGCGGGGCCGGGAGGAGGCCGCUCAACCUCGGUUUCCGCCUGCGCCCUGCGGGACCACCUGGUUCUAGGUCCUGCCUCCCCGGGGAAGAACCUCCAAGCCCACCUCUCAGUUUAAGCCCCCUUGCCCUAGCCUUUUCCAGCAUGUAACACCUAAGGUGAGAUAACCGGUUGCCCAUCUCUUCCUGACCUUGGCAAGAGUUCUGACUGAGCGCCUGCUGGGGUGGGCCGAUGGUCGAGCCAGCUUCUGCAACGGAGAAUUAGAUCCUGACCUGGACAGGGGACUGCUUGAUUAAUAGAUUUCUGGCGACUUGCAGUCCUUUUGUGAAGUCAUCCCUUCCCAGAUGACUACUCAGCUACAAGACAUUUGAGGACUUCGUAGAAGAUAACCCUCUCCCCUGUCUGCAGGCAAAUUCCACAUUCUGUCAAUCGGGGUCUGCAUAUGCUUUGUAGGAGACUUCUAAAGAUCCCCCGGUCUUUCAAGGGUAUGCCCAUGGUGGUUGUAGCUGCACCGACACUCUCUCCUGCAGGUGAAUAUUGGCUUAUGUGUCUUAGGCAUUAUUGCCAUGGCCAGCACCAAUUCCCUGAUGUGGACCUUCUUUAGCCGCGGGCUCAGUUUCUCUAUGUCUUCGGCCAUUGCGUCUGUCACAGUGACUUUUUCGAACAUACUUUGCUCGGCCAUCUUAGGCUACGUGCUGUAUGGAGAGUGCCAGGAGAUCUUGUGGUGGGGAGGGGUGUUCCUCAUC